rnacentral:rRNA from 1 species
UUUAAAUGAGGACUAGUAUCAAUGGCACCACGAGAACUGCACUGUCUCCCCUCUCCAAUCAGUGAAACUGAUCUCCCCGUGAAGAAGCGGGGAUAUAAUUAUAAGACGAGAAGACCCCAUGGAGCUUUAAACCUUACAGCAACUCUGCCGCAUAAUCCUAUAUACCCACCAGAGUAGUGCAUGAUAGUUUUAGGUUGGGGUGACCGCGGAGUAAAAUCUAUCCUCCGCAACAAAAAGAACUAAGCCUUUAUCCAAGAGAUACCUCUCUAAGAAUUAGCAUACUAAUGUACAAUGACCCGAUAAUCGAUCAGCGGACCAAGUUACCCUGGGGAUAACAGCGCAAUCUACUUCAAGAGCCCAUAUCGACAAGUAGGCUUACGACCUCGAUGUUGGAUCAGGGUCUCCCAGUGGCGCAGCCGCUACUAAAGGUUCGUUUGUUCAACGAUUAAAACCCUACGUGAU